CCUGCGUAGCUCAGUUGGCAGAGCGUUCGACUGUUAAUCGAAUGGUCGCUGGUUCAAGCCCAGCCGCAGGAGCCAU
rnacentral:tRNA from 1 species